GACGAACGCUGGCGGCGUGCUUAACACAUGCAAGUCGAACGAUGAAGCCUUUCGGGGUGGAUUAGUGGCGAACGGGUGAGUAACACGUGGGCAAUCUGCCCUUCACUCUGGGACAAGCCCUGGAAACGGGGUCUAAUACCGGAUAAUACUCUUGCGGGCAUCUGUGAGGGUUGAAAGCUCCGGCGGUGAAGGAUGAGCCCGCGGCCUAUCAGCUUGUUGGUGAGGUAACGGCUCACCAAGGCUUUGACGGGUAGCUGGUCUGAGAGGACGACCAGUCACACUGGAACUGAGACACGGUCCAGACACCUACGGGUGGCAGCAGUCGAGAAUUUUUCUCAAUGGGGGAAACCCUGAAGGAGCGACGCCGCGUGGAGGAUGAAGGCUUUC
rnacentral:rRNA from 1 species